rnacentral:lncRNA from 1 species
GUUUGCAGAAUUACACCAUCUAGAACACUCAGUGCUGAGGAUAGAGAAGUUCUUAGGUCCUUUUUAUUUUUUUACUUUUUUUUUUUUUAGAAAUUUUAUUUGUUGUUUUGUAAUUUUGAGACAGGAACUGUGUUUCUUACUGGCCUGGAACUCACUACAUAGACCAGACUGGCCUGAAGAAUCAGAGAUCUGCCUGCAUGUGCCUCCAGAGGUUUCCCCUCGUUGAUGUGCUCAUAGAUCGCGUCUGCGCCCUGAUCCAAGGCACGCUCGAAGAACAGGGCGCCCACUGCGAUGGUGAGGGCGAAGGUGGAAGUUCUGCGGAACAGCAAGGAGUACAGACGCGAAGGGAUCGUCGGCAACGACAUGUUGCCUCACUGCCGAACUCGCGCCACUGCCAGAUGUAUUUCUUUAUGUUCCGGUGCCACAUGCAUGCCUGGUACCUGAGGAUGACAGAAGAGGACAUCAGGUCCCCUGGAACUUGAGUUGCAAUUGUAAGCCACCUUGUAGGUGCUGGGAAGCAAAGCUGGGUCCCCUGGAAAAGCAUCCAAUGCUCUUAACUGCUGAGCCGUUUCCCAGCCCCCUUUUAAAGGUGUUUUCUUUUGUUUAACUUGC